AGAGUUCGAUCCUGGCUCAGGAUAAAUGCUGAUGGCAUGCUUAACACAUGCAAGUCAGACGGGAAGUGGUGUUUCCAGUGGCGGACGGGUGAGUAACGCUUAAGAACCUGCCCUUGGGAGGGGAACAACAACUGGAAACGGCUGCUAAUACCCCGUAGGCUGAGGAGCAAAAGGAGGAAUCCGCCCGAGGAGGGGCUUGCGUCUGAUUAGCUAGUUGGUGAGGCAAUAGCUUACCAAGGCGAUGAUCAGUAGCUGGUCCGAGAGGAUGAUCAGCCACACUGGGACUGAGACACGGCCCAUACUCCUACGGGAGACAGCAGUGGGGAAUUUUCCACUAUGAGCGAAAGCCUGACGGAGCAAUGCCGCAUGGAGGUAGAAGGCCCACAGGUCGUGAACUUCUUUUCCCAGAGAAGAAGCAAUGACGGUAUUUGGGGAAUAAGCAUCGGCUAACUCUGUGCCAAUAGCCGCGGAAAGAUAGAGGAUGCAAGCGUUAUCUGGAAUGAAUGGGCGUAAAGCGUUUGUAGGUGGCUUUUUAAUUCCGCCGUCAAAUCCCAGGGCUCAACCCUAGACAGGCGAUGGAAACUACCAAGCUGGAGUACGGUAGGGGCAAAGGGAAUUUCCAGUGGAGUGGUGAAAUGCAUUGAGAUCGAAAAGAACACCAACGGCGAAAGCACUCUGCUGGGCCGACGCUGACACUGAGAGAUAAAAGCUAGGGUAGCGAAUGGGAUUAGAUACCUAGUAGUAAUAGCCGUAAACGAUGGAUACUAUGCAAUGUGCGUAUAGACCCAUGCAGUGCUGUAGCUAACGCGUUAAGUAUCCCACCUGGGGAGUACGUUUGCAAGAAUGAAAUUUAAAGGAAUUGACGGGGGCCCGCAUAAGCGGUGGAGCAUGUGGUUUAUUUCGAUGCAAAGCGAAGAACCUUACCAGGGCUUGACAUCCUGCGAGGGUGAGCUAACCCCAAAAACCCAUCCUCAGUUCGGAUUACAGGCUGCAACUUUCCUGCAUGAAGCCGGAAUCGCUAGUAAUCGCCGAUCAGCCAUACGGCGGUGAAUUUAUUUUUGGGCCUUGUACACACCGCCCAUCACACUAUGGGAGUUGACCAUGCCCGAAGUCAUUACCUUAACCGCAAGGCGGGGAUGCCGAAGGCAGGGCAUCGUUCCUUAGAGGUUACAUUCCAUAUUGAGGAGGGGAAAUGUUGGUAGGAGAGCUU
rnacentral:rRNA from 1 species